ensembl:lncRNA
CUCCUGAUCCAUCCUUAGUCAAAGGUUCCCAUAUCAGUUGUCAGAAUGAUACAGUUUAGUCUGUCAGAAUUAACUUUGUGUAUAUAUUUCCUUCUUUUUCCAGGGCGAUAUGAUCUCAGAUUGCCUCAGAUUAGAUGCAAAGCAUGUGAAGCCACUUGGAGUCCUGGAGUGGAUGACCUGAUCCGUAAUGACUACUGGCCUGCCACUUCUCACUAUUCAACUGUGUAUGCAACAGAUGUCCUUUUUUUCUUUUGAAGAGCUGAAGAUGGCAGCACCAGGGAUGUCUAGCCAAGCAUUUCUUAGAAUGCUGGAUCAACGCACUGUUCGCUUUGGCCGUAGCGGAAACAUCACAGCAGACAGCUUCCGGAAAAGCUUUUUUUGGAGUGGGAAGCUGUCCGAUUCGAAGUGGACAAAUUAUGCCAGGAGGACCACUUUGACUGCCCAGCGUGCAGCCCAGACAUGCUUGCAGUAUCCGUUGAUGGAAACCGUAAGCACUACAGAUUCAAGAGUGCAGCAAGGUACUGUGUGUGCAUUGACGGUCCAUUACUUUGAAAGUAACUGCUGUGAAUUGAAAAAUCAUAUGAAUAUUUAAAGUUAAUAUGUAUCUCUUUUAUUUAGAUCGGAGGAAAAAGCCAUCUUUGAUGGCGUGUUCAUCGCAAAUGAUGAUGAUGUAGCAAGAUUCGUUGACUAUGUCCAUACCUCAACCAGUCAUGUAAACUUGCACAACUUCUCUAUAUUUACCUAUAAAACACCACGUCCUACAGAGGACUUUGUUUGAACAAGUUUGGACUGUUAAACAUCUUCCAUGUUUUAGGUCUCUGGAAGAGGUGUCUGUGGAGGGCAAUGGUCAGCGGCACGUGAAACGUCUCAGAAGUCCUCAGGAAAAAAACAGACGAGGAGGGCCUGGAGCUCGCUGUAUGUCGUCAUGGGGUUCUCCUUCGUGCCCUCAAUAUGUUCAGGGGGAGAUUUUUUUGCCUACCCCCUGUACCUCCGAAAAGCAAAUGGCCUGUAAGCCAGUUAAAUUUUUUGCAAUGGAUGUGGCAUGCAAGUACUGGCCUUACCUCCAGAGAGUGACAGAGAAAUGCCCUGAGCUUGAGGAUCUCCUCACCAUGAGGCCAUUUCUUUCUGUUUUUCAUGCCAAAGCUCAUGAUUUCAAAUGUGAGGUAAGAAAAAAUUAUUGUCCAUGACAUUUUCUUUCCCUAAAAUCCUGCAUAAGAUUGUUGCCAUUUAGGUUUAGUUUUUUUUGUUUUCUUUUUUAAAGGUAAAAUGGAGUGGAGCAUAUCAGGAGGGGGCUGGUUCGACUCUUGGGGAAGAGGUGGAGCAGUGCAACGCCUUCCUCUCGAGGAUUGCUGUUACGACAAAGCACAUGUCAAAAGCAGGUAAGGUAACCAGUAAAUUUUGAUCCUGAUGACAUGGGUGAGCCACUUUGAGCUUAUGCAUAUAUGCUGACUCUGAAAAUAUAAAGAUCAGAAUAUAUUAAACACAAAUGGAUGGGUUGAUUACAAUAACAUCAUCCUAUUUUAUUUGACGUGAGGAUAAUAAGGAAGGGCAGUGCGAUAUAAAAAAAACACAUCAGAGUACCAUUCACCUACUGUCCUGCCAUAGUGCUCCAUGCCAUUUUAAUACUGUCCUGCGCCACUGUGUCAUGCUAUUUCUUCACUAUCCUGUGCUAUUUACCUAACCCUUUCAUGGGACAGUAAUCAAAUGGCACAAGACAGCAGAUUAGUACCAUAGUACUGUACUGUAAGUUAUUAUCUCUGAAAAGUUUGUGAUUCAAGUCUGCACAGUUUCUUCUCCUACUGCUACUGGAAAGAAGGGUGAUAAUCUCAUAUUUUUUAUUUUUGCAGGACGCAUAGACAUGCUGACGAUCAUGGCCAUGCGCUGGAACCAACAAAAGUUUGACAACUUGGCUUCUACCCUUGCCCGCCGAUAUCGGAAGGUAAAGACACCAGGUUUUCCCUUAUGCAAAAAUGCAUAGCUAUAUUGUAAAAUAAAGCAAAUAAAUGGCAUAUAUCACAAAAAUAUAGAGAACACUUGCCCAGAUAUUCUUUAAUAUAUAUUAAAUAUAUGGAUGGUUGCAUGUGUAGUGUCAAUUGUAUUUUUUAGUGUCUUGAUAUAAAAUAUUACAUGUUCAUACCACAUAUAUUGAUAGUCCACGUAUAUACGAAUAUACUGUAUAUUUAAUUAGUGUUGUAUGUGGUUUUCUAAUAGUGAAGGUACUUCACAAUCCUUAUCAACAAUAGUCAAAGUGGUAGGCGUUUUUCCUCAUUGUCAUUUAUGUUUGAAGGCCACAAUAGCCCUGCAAUGCCAGUUGCAUAACCUGGAGGCCAUGAAAACGGAAAUGGACGUCUCAGACAAUCAACUGGAGAGGUGGAUCACUGAUAUCAAUGAGUGGGCAGAAGGUAGGAUAUACUGUUUUAUACUGUUUGAUAUGGUGCU